rnacentral:rRNA from 1 species
AUUUGUCUGGUUAAUUCCGAUAACGAACGAGACCUUAACCUGCUAAUUAGAUCUUGUUAUCUUAUAACUUGUAUCUUCUUAGAGGGACUAUGUAAAACAAAUACAUGGAAGUUUGAGGCAAUAACAGGUCAGUGAUGCCCUUAUAUGUCCUGGGCUGCACGCGUGCUACACUGAUGUAUACAACAAGUGCCUAACCAGACAUGGUAUGGCAAUCUCGAAUAUGCAUCGUGAUGGGGAUAGAUCUUUGCAAUUAUAGAUCUUGAACGAGGAAUUCCUAGUAAGUGCAAGUCAUCAUCUUGCAUUGAUUAUGUCCCUGCCCUUUGUACACACCGCCCGUCGCUCCUACCGAUACCGGGUGAUCCGGUGAACCUUUUGGACCUUAACUGGGAAGAUAAGUAAACCAUAUCACCUAUAGGAAGGAGAAGUCGUAACAAGGUUUCCGUAGGUGAACCUGCRGAAGGAUCA